CACGGGGGUUGCGAGCGUUGUCCGGAAUUACUAGGCGUAAAGGGCAGGUAGGCGGAUCUAUAAGUUUUUUGUCAAAUUCAACGGCUCACCCGUUGCGAGGCAGGAGAUACUGUAGAUCUGGAAUGCGGUUGGGGAAGACAGAAUUCCUGGUGUAGCGGUGGAAUGCGCAGAGAUCAGGAGGAAUACCUAAGGCGAAGGCAGUCUUCUAAGCCGUAAUUGACGCUAAACUGCGAAGGUGUGGGUAUCAAACAGGAUUAGAUACCCUGGUAGUCCACACAGUAAACGAUAAUCACUGGGUGUCGGGUUCGUAGAGGAUUCGGUGCCGUAGCUAACGCGAUAAGUGAUUCGCCUGGGGAGUACGAUCGCAAGGUUGAAACUCAAAGGAAUUGACGGGGGCCCGCACAAGCGGUGGAGCAUGUGGUUUAAUUCGAGGCAACGCGAAGAACCUUACCCGGUCUUGACAUCUGCAGUAGGUUUCAGAGAUGAGGCCGUGCCGGCUUUGCCGGAGCUGCAAGACAGGUGCUGCAUGGCU
rnacentral:rRNA from 1 species